GUGUUCUGGUAGUCCAGCCCGUGGUAGGACGGCCGAAGUUCCCUGGCUGUAGAGUCUCCAACGAUCGUGAUCACAAUCACGAUCGCGACCAGCGGUACAUAAGAAACCAUUUCAAGUUCUCAGAGGACACAAACGAUGUCGUUUCUACGCCUCUCUCUCUCUCUCUCUCUCUCUCACACGCACACACCUGCAGGUACGUACUGUGAACUUGAUCUAGACGGAGACUGUCAAGACUGAGUACGUGGCUGAACGGAAGUGAGCGAAUGGAUUCCGGCGAUCUGUCACUCGCUGCUCAAGUAAGUAACCGUUGCUUCUUCUAUAUGUAGGAUUAUAACGUCGAUUGAUGAAGAAAACGGUGGCGUUUGGGUGUUUGGUCUGUGGUCUAGAGUCUUGACUGAUACAGUAGAAAGAGAGGGAGGGGGUGUUGGAAAACAGAAAACGCGUGAUUUUAGUAUUGUCGGGAAGGAGCUUCACAAGAAUUCCACAGUUCGCCG
rnacentral:lncRNA from 1 species